rnacentral:rRNA from 1 species
GUAGGUGGGCAAGCGUUGUCCGGAACUAUUGGGCGUAAAGCGCGCGCAGGGCGGUCCUUUAAGUCUGAUGUGAAAGCCCACGGCUCAACCGUGGAGGGUCAUUGGAAACUGGGGGACUUGAGUACAGAAGAGGAAAGCGGAAUUCCAAGUGUAGUGGUGAAAUGCGUAGAGAUUUGGAGGAACACCAGUGGCGAAGGCGGCUUUCUGGUCUGUAACUGACGCUGAGGCGCGAAAGCGUGGGGAGCAAACAGGAUUAGAUACCCUGGUAGUCCACGCCGUAAACGAUGAGUGCUAAGUGUUAGGGGGUUUCCGCCCCUUAGUGCUGCAGCUAACGCAUUAAGCACUCCGCCGUGGGGAGUACGGCCGCAAGGCUG